CUCAUGCGUGCGCAGUCCCCCCCACCCUCCCCUGCGUUGGUUUGAUUCCUGUUGCGGGUACUUGCAUCAGGCGGAGGUCAACUGUCAGUCACCUUUCAGAUGUCUGUGCAUGCUCCAGGAACCAGAUCCAGUAGGUCCUUCUGAAAAGCAUCUUACAAGGGAGUACAUUGUUUGUUCUUUCCAGAAUGCCGGUUUUGUGUCAUUAGCCAACCAAAAAAUUUUUGUAAGUAAGUUGCAAGUUGCUGGUGUUGCAGGGCUCCUUGCCUAGGGGCUCAGUCCCUUUUCCUUCCCUAUCUCAGAUUCUGCUGCCUGCAUUUAUCUCUGGGAGCAGGCAUGGUCCCUCCCUGGAACACGGAUCUCAACCACCACCAUGGCUGGAGGCUUCCUUGAUGACUAGAAUGUGUUUCUGUACAAAUGAGGGCUAAGGGGUGGAGCUGAAUGGAAUGGGUGGUGAUGGAAAAACACUAAAUAGACAAAUGGUAACUUUGGUGAAGGGUAAGACAAUACACAAUACUGGAGAAGCCUGCAUAACUUGUACAAGGCAAGGUCAAGGAAGCUCCAUAGACACAUCCAAACUCCCUGAGGGACCGACCAAAUUGCUGGGCUGAGGGCUGUGGGGACCAGGAUCUCAGGGAGCAUCUAGCCCAAUUGGUGUAACAUAGUUUAUAAAGGAAAAGUUCUACUUUCUACAUUGGUGAGUAGCGUCUGGGAUCUUAAAAGUCUGGAAGUGGCCAUCUAAGAUACUCUAUGGGCCUUACCCCUUCAGGAGCAAGGGAGAAUGAAGAAAACCAAAGAUACAAGGGAAAGAUGAGUCCAAAGGACUAACGGACCACAGCUACCACAGCCACCACCAGACUGAGCCCAGUACAACGAGAUGGUGCCUGGCUACCACCACUGACUGCUCUGACAGGGAUUGCAAUAGGGGUUCCUGGACAGAACUGGAGAAAAAUGUAGAACAAAAUUCUAACUCACAAAAAAGGCCAGACUUACUGGCCUGACAGAGACUGCAGAAACCCAGGGAGUAUGGUGUCCGGACACCCUUCAUCCAAAGGUAGACACAUAAACUAAAAUGAGACUAAAUGGGAACACCAGCCCAGGGGCAAGGACUGGAAGGCAGGAGGGGACAGGAAAGCUGGUAAUACAGAACCCAAGGUCGAGAAGGGAGAGUGUUGGCAUGUUGUGGGGUUGUUAACCAAUGUCGUAAAAUAGUAUGUGUACUAGCUGUUUAAUGAAAAGCUAGUUUGUUCUGUAAACCUUUAUCUAAAGCACAACUUAAAAAAAGGAAAUGAGAGCUAACCUGAGCUGAAUUGCUAUCUCUGUAAAAUAAAAACCAGAUGACGUAAAAGGUCAGACACUAAUUCACCAUCAUCUGCACUGAAAUUUGUGUGGGGAAUGGGUUCAUGGCAAUGGGUUUUUAUUUUUAUUUUGAGGGAGUUAUGAUCAUCAACUGACAGAUGUAAAAUUUAAAUUCAGGCUGUAGCCUCCUUGCUCAAAUCGGUUUUACGAUGUGCUACAUUUCAUGAAAAUACGCCUGGGCACCAAGGAUCAGGUUCCUGAUGGACACAAUGGUCACCGUGGGCAAAUGAGUUCUCUGAAGAGAGAUUACCACGAAUGGAAAUAUUUAUACUAAGACUGUUCAUGGUGAGAGUGACUCAAAUACAGCCCCCACUGUGGGAAUAAAGGGAAGCAACUGCUCAUCAGUUUUUGUUUCUUUGUUUCAUCACCUAAUGAGCCUAAGGAAAGGCACAAAGUGCUUUAUCAGUAGCAAGAACUUCACCCCUUCUGGAUCCAAUAAAAUGCUGGGAAGUCAUCAGUCAGGAGAAUCAGGGUGACCCAUCAUGGACAAAUUCCAGCAGAGAAGAGAUGGCAAGGAUUAGCUAAUUCAGCUAUUGGGUGACUGCAACAUACCAAAGAAGCCCUGGUGGCGUGGUGGUUAAGUACUUGGGUGUUAACUGAAAGGUUGGGAGUUCAAACCCACCAGCUACUCUGCAGAGAAAGAUGUAGCAGUCUGCUUCCAUAAAGAUUACAGCCUUGAAAUCCCUAUGAGGCACUUUUACUCUUUCUAUAGGGUUGCUGUGAGUCAGAAUUGACUCCACAGCAAUGGGUACCACAUACCAGGCAAUGGUUUCCCAUUUGGAAUACAGCAUUGUUAAAACAGAAAAAUAUCCCUGCCCUUAUGGAACAUAUAUUGUAGCAGCUGGAUUAAAAAUAAAAAACAGUUGCAGCCAAGUUGAUUAUAACUCAUGGCUACUCAUGUGUGUCACAGUAGAACUGCACUCCAUAGGGUUUUCGUUGGCUGUGAUCUUUUGGAAGUAGAUCCUAGGCCUUCCAAGGUGCCUCUGGGUGGAUUUAAACUGCCAUCUUUUCAGUUAGUAGUCAGGUGCUUAACCUUUUGCACCACCCAGGGAUAUGGGCAUUAAAUAAUGAACAAGCAAAUCAGUAAAUUCUAUAGUAUGUUAGAAAGUGUAAGUGUUAUGGCAGAUAAAGUAAACAAAGGUGAUAGAAAUUUAGAGUCUAUUGCGGGAGAAAACCGCAGGUUAUGAUUUUAAAUAGAAACUUAAGGGUAGGCCUCAUUGAGAAGGUGACAUUUUAGCAAAUAUCUGAAGUAAGGGAAUCAACGAUGUGUAUAUCUGGGGUGUAAGUGAGUUCCAGUCAGAGGGAACAGACAGCACAAAGGCUCUAAGGUGGGAAUGUGAUUGGAGGAACGUAUGGGGGCAAGUGGGAUUGAAGCCAAGUGAGUCAGGGAAGAGUAACAGGAGAGAUGAAGAAGUGAAUUGGAAAGAUAGGGGCAGAUCAUAUAGGCCUUGUUGGCCACUGUAAGGCCUUUGGCUUUACUGUGAGGGGAAUGGUGAGCUGCUGGAGGGUUCUGAGCAGAAUGACAUGAUUUCGACCUACAUUACAGAAGUACCUCUCUGGCUGCUGGGUUGAAGCAUACAUCUGACUCAAGCCAAAUGCCUCUUUCAGAUGCUCUUACAUUUCACAUCCAGAUAAAGAAUUGCGCAGAUGAGUUAUAGGGAUGUGGCACAGGGCAGCAAAGGAAGUGAAGGUAAGUCAGAGAGUCAGCUUUGGUGACAUCUGCUUUGAACAACCCUGCCCUGAUGAAAUUCCAGGAACAUUUCUCAAUAUGAAAUAAACAUCUUUGCAGUAACUGUCCAUUUUUGUGCCUUAGUGUCUAUGCUUGGUGCAACUCCAAAGAAGCUAAACAGGCCCCACUUGGUAUAGUGGGGGCUGUUCCAGUGGGCAACACAGAGCCAGAAGUCUGUUCACCUUUUUUGACUCUCUAGCCGCUUUUUUUGUUAGAUAAGUAAGAAAUUGCCUUCAAACAAGAAAAGUAUGUCUGAAAGCGUUCUUCACAACGUCAGCUUGAUUAAGGAACUGGUUUAGAAGACUUUUGUUAAAAUCAUGUAAAUCAUCAUUCAUUCUAUGAAUAUUUACCAAGCACUUUUCACAUGCUAGGGACUUUUCUAGAUGCUGGGGAUUUGAACACUAACACACGCUCUUGUUUUAUCUUGCUUAUUCUCUAGAGUAUGAUAAAUGCUUUGUGAUAUAUACGCAUCAAAGGCUGUCGGAGCUCUGAGGAAAAAGUAAAUAACACUGCCUGGGGAGUAGUGGAGACUUCAAGAACAUAAAGACCCUCCAGCUGCACUUUGAAGAAAAGAAAAAUGAGUCACUGAAGGAGAAAGAGGUUAAAGCAUAUGCUUAUGUGGAAGUAAAUUAUGUUAAAUGCAGACGCGUAAAUUUAUAUAUUCAUGUGUUCAGAACAUAAGUGUGCCUAAGGACACUGGGAUCUUCAAUAAGAUAAUCCGAGCAGUUUGUUCCUUGACCUUCAACAACCCCCACCUGGUAAAUGGCAGGAAUUUAGGCUUUCCCCACUGUAUGAGUCGGAAUCCACUUGAAGCAGUGGGUUUGGUUUUUUUUUGUUAUCUCUUAGGCUUUCCCAAAGGGGCAGGGCCAAGUUACACAGUAUCAGAACCUGCCCUCUGCUCUGGAGGACAUCAGAUUGGAUUGCUGGGCUUCUGGGGCUUCUGCUCUGCAGUUCUGUUCUAUGGUCAUCUUGAGUCUGUCAGCUGUCACUGUCUCCUCUGCACAUCUACAGUCCUGGGUCAGCUAACUCUUCCGACAUUCUACCUGGACUGCCUUUGUUGUGGUGCUGGCUUGCUGUCAGCCUCUGAUGCUGGCUAGGAUUUGGGUACCUGCUUUCCCCAUUGCUGCCACCUGGAGCUAUUCAGCACUGAAUCAACUCUUUGUUUAUAAGGAAACUCUUUUGUAAUGAGUUCUUUUGGAAAGAAGGUUGCUUAGGCCCUGGUGGCACAGCACUUUAAUGUUUCCCAGAGCCCAUACUUCCCCUGGGCAAUAGAUGCUUAUUAAAGUGUUGGAGGUUGCUGGGUGAUGGUAAGUUCAAGGGCAGACUCACAUGGCAUAUGACCCACUGUAGCUGCCACUGCCACUGCCACUGCCACUCAGGAAUCACUGCAGACUCCAACACAGAAUGCCUAGUUUCUUCAUCACUUACAGGGACCUACUUUCUCUAUACUUGUCUCCUGCACAAUUGAGUAUGUAUGGAUAUAUCCCAAUCCCAAGCAUAAACCCCAAUAAAGUUAUCUCCCAUAGGCCCCUGAGCUACACCUGAAGCUGAGAAUGUAGUUAGGCCUGUGUUGAGUAUCAUCAUCCAUUCAAUGUUAGUGAAAGGUCGCUUUGUCAAGGAAGUCUCCUCUAACUUGACAUUUUUGUCCACUACCUUUGGCCAGUUACUUAAUCCCUAUGUGUCUCAUUUUUCUCAUCUGGUGAAGAUGAUAUGGGAGGUAUGUACGUGUGUAUAUAUGUCUGUCACUUUGUCAUGCUAUGGGCACUUGCAUGUUGCUGUGAUGCUGGAAGCUAUUCCACUGGUAUUCAGAUACCAGCAGGGUCGCCCAUGGUAGACAGGUUUCAUCUGAGCUUCCAGUCUAAGACAGACUAGGAAGAAGGACCCAGCAGUCAACUUCUGAAAAUUAUUAGCCACUGAAAACCUUAUGAAUAGCAGUGGAACAUUGUCUAAUAUCUUGCCAGAAGAUGAGCCCCCAGGUUGGAAGGCACUCAAAAGAUGACUGGGGAAGAGCUGCCUCCUCAAAGUAGAGUCGACCUUAAUGAUGUGGAUGGAGUCAAGCUUUUGGGACCUUCAUUUGCUGAUGUGGCACUACUCAAAAUGAGAAAAAACAGCUGCAAACAUCCAUUAAUAAUUGGAACAUGGAAUGUAGAAAGUAUGAAUCCAGGAAAAUUGAAAAUUGUCAAAAAUGAUAUAGAAUGCAUAAAGAUCAAUAUCCUAGGCAUUAGUGAGCUGAAAUGGACUGGUAUAGGCCAUUUUGAAUGGACAAUCAUAUGGUCUACUAUGUCAAGAAUGACAAAUUGAAGAGAAAUGGUGUUGCAUUCAUUGUCAAAAAAGAACAUUUCAAGAUCUAUCCUGAAGUGCAAUGCUGUCAAUGGUAGGGUAAUAUCCAUAAGCCUACAAGGAAGACCAGUUGAUAUGACUACUAUUCAAAUUUACACACCAGCCACUAAGGCCAAAGAUGAAGAAAUUGAAGAUUUUUAAUAACUUCUACUGUCUGAAAUUGAUUGAACAUGCAAUCAGGAUGCAUUGAUAAUUACUGGUGAUUGGAAUGUGAAAGAUGGAAAAAAAGAAGUAUUGGUAGUUGGAAAAUAUGGCCUUGGUGAUAGAAAUGAUACCAGAGAUCUCAUGAUAGAAUUUUGCAAGACCAACAAUUUCUUCAUUGCAAAUACCUUUAUUCACCAACAUAAACCGUGACUGUACACAUGAACCGAACCAGAUGGAGUACACAGGAAUGAAACCAACUACAUCUGUGGAAAGAGACAACAGAAAAGCUCAAUAUCAUCAGUUAGAACAAGGCGAGGGGCUGACUGUGCAACAGACUGCCAAUUGCUCACAUGUGAGUUCAAGUUGAAACUGAAGAAAAUUAGAGCAAGUCCAUGAAAGCCAAAGUAUGAUCUUGAGUAUCUUCCACCUGAAUUUAGAGAGCACCUCAAGAAUAGAUUUCAGAGGAGGCGGAGCCAAGAUGGCGGAAUAGACAGACGCUUCUGGCGAGCCCUCUUUACAACACAGACCCAAAAAAACAAGUGAAAUGAGUAUAUUCCUGACAAGCUGGGAGCCUGAGCUUCAAAGGCAAGCUUAGAAAAAGAACUGAGGGGAAGGGGAGGAAGAGACCAUUCAGAAGUGGAGAGGAGUUACCGGACCUGAAUCGCAGGGAACUCUCAGGCAAAAUUCCUGGAGCAGUGGUGGCGGUGGGCUGGUACUAGCGUUCAGCUGCAGUUUCCUCAGGGAGAAGCAGCCAGCCACACAGCCUACUCACACCUCUGGAACCCGAGGAGAACAGUGCUCUAGGAAAAGCUAAGUACUUGCGUAUAUUUUAACGUGUCCCCCCACUUGCGAACUGGCUUCAGCAGCUGAAUUUCCUGGGCCUGACAUAGGCACUGUUGAGUACCUAGAGCCAUCCUCCCUGCCUUGGGGAAGGAAAAAAUUUGCUUUUGGGGGAAAAGAUAAUUUGCUAGCUCCACUAACUGGGGGAGCUCAGGACAGAAGCAGCUCCUGUCCAGGCAUAAACUGUCCUUGGACUUUGAGCACCUUUCCCUUCUGCAUGGACCUGUGUGGGCCUAUUUCGGGAGAAUAGGCUCUUGUUGGCAAACUCCAACCAUUUCAGCUGUGUGGUGGAGAGGUGGGUGUUUGACGUUUGACAUUGCUUUGCCUAUUAAACAAGGUCCCCACCUAACCACAUCAGGGACCUAAGGACUGGUAGCUCCACUCAGGCCACCCAGCCACCCAUGACAGGGGUCCAAAGAUAACUGGUACCUCCCAGUCCUUACAAUCAAAAACUUUGGGUGCCCAUGAUCCAUCUGCAGAGCCCACCCAUCUGCAUGCUCUAGGGAACAGGGACGUGCUUUCCACAGAGACACUUGUGGGUCGGUUCUCAGGCCCCUGCCUUGUUCAGAGCGUGUCCCUCUGCAGCAAUCAGAUACUGGUAUAUAUACCAAUCACCCCUGCCCCUCUAAGACUGUAGGACAGAGCCUGUACCACACACUUGAUAAUCAGCUACCUGGAAACCUGAGCUGAAUUCAUACAAGAAAAGUGAAUGGGCUCCUAGACUGAUAUACCUGAUAAAACCUCUAGCAAGCUGGGGAUAGGACAUCAGAGCUCCAAAGGGGAAAAUAAUCAAGCUAGCUCAUUCAAGCAACCCAUAGGAGUAUACCAAAACAAAACCAAAGCAAGAAGCUACAACACAGUAGGCAAGCAUAAACUAAUACAAUAACUUAUAGAUGGCUUGGAGACACCAGUCAAUAUCAAGUCACGUAAAGAAACAGACCAUAAUCACCUCAACAGGCUCUCGAAACAGAGAAUCCAGGGAUCUUCUAGAUGAAAGUGCAUUCCUGGGAUUAACAGAGCAGAAUACAAAAGUUUAAUACACAGAACCCUUCAAGACAUCAGGAAGGAAAUGAGGCAAUAUACAAAACAAGCCAAGGAAUACACAGAUAAAGAAAUUGAAGAGAUUAGAAAGAUUAUUCAGGAACAUAAUGAAAAGUUUAAUAAGCUGGAAAAAUCCAUAGACAGACAGCAAUCAGAAGUUCAGAAGAUUAACAAUAAAAUUACAGAAUUAGACAAAUCAAUAGGAAGUCAGAGGAGCAGAAUUGAGUAAGAAGAAGCUAGAAUUUCUGGACUCGAAGAUAAAUCACUUGGCACUAAUAUAUAUGAAGAAAAACCAGAUAAAAGAAUUGAAAAAAAUGAAGAAACCUAAAGAAUCAUGUGGGACUCUAUCAAGAGAAAUAACCUACGAGUGAUUGGAGUAUCAGAACAGGGAGGGAUAACAGAAAAUACAGAGAAAAUUGUUGAAGAUGUAUUGGCAGAAAAUUUUCCUGAUAUGGUGAAAGAUGAGAAGAUAUCUAUCCAAGACGCUCGUCGAACUGCACAUAAGGUAGAUGUUAAAAGAAAGGCACCAAGACGUAUUACAAUCUAACUUGCCAAAACCAAAGAUAAAGAGAGAAUUAUAAGAGCAGAGAGGGAUAAAUGCAACGUCAACUAAAAAGGAGAGCCAAUGAGAAUAAGCUCGGACUACUCGGCAGAAACCAUGUAGGCAAGAAGGCAAUGGGAUAACAUAUUUAAAGAAUUGAAGGAAAAAAAAUGCCUGCUAAGAAUCAUAUAUCCAGCAAAACUGUCUCUUAAAUAUGAAGGUGAAAUUAAGACAUUUCCAGAUAAGCAGAAGUUUAGGGAAUUCGUAAAAACCAAACCAAAACUACAAGAAAUACUAAAGGAAGUUCUUUGGUUAGAAAAUCAAUAAUAUCAGGUAUCAACACAAGACUAGAACAUUGGGCAGGGAACCAGAAGUCAACCCAGACAGGGAAGUCCAAAAAAACAAAGCAAGAUUAUAUAUAUAUAAUAAAAAAGCUCAAAACAGGGUAACAGUGAUGUUAUUAUAUAAAAGAAGACAACAUUAAAAUAAUAAAGAGGGACUAAGAAAUGUAAUCAUACACCUUCCAUAUGGAGAGGAAAAUACGGCGAUACAAAGAAAUAAAAGUUAGUUUUAAAUUUAGAAAAAUAGUGGUAAAUAAUAAGAUUACCGAAAGGAGACGAACUAUCCUACCCAUCAAAAUAAAAUACAAGAAAAAAAUAGAGACUCAGCAGAAACAAAAUCAACAACAACAAAUAUGAGGAAAGGACAAUGUAUAAAGAAAAUCUACUCAGCACAUAAAAUUAAGUGGGAAAAAGAAACUGUCAACAACACACAAAAAAGGACAUCCAAAUGAUAGCACUAAAUUCAUACCUAUCCAUAAUUACCCUGAAUGUAAAUGGACUAAAUGCACCAAUAAAGAGACAGAGAGUGGCAGAAUGGAUUAAAAGCCAAGAUCAGUCUAUAUGCUGCCACCAAGAGAUACACCUUGGACUUAGAGACACAAACAAACUAAAACCUAAAGGAUGGAAAAAAAUAGAUCAAGCAAACAACAAUCAAAAAAGAGCAGGAGUGGCAAUAUUAAUUUCUGACAAAAUAGACUUUAAAGUUAAAUCCAUCAGAAACGAUAAGGAAGGACACCAUAUAAUGAUUAAAGGGACAAUACACCAAGAAGAUAUAACCAUAUUAGAUAUUUAUGCACCCAAUGACAGGGCUGCAAGAUACAUAAAACAAACUCUAUCAGCAUUGAAAAGUGAGAUAGACAGCUCCGCAAUAAUAGUAGGAGACUUUUCAACACACCACUUUCGGUGAAGGACUGGACAUCCAGAAAGAAGCUCAAUAAAGACACGGAAGAUCUAAAUGCCACAAUCUACCAACUUGACCUUGUAGACAUAUACAGAACACUCCACCCAACAGCAACCAAGUAUACUUUCUUUUCUAGUGCACAUGGAACAUUCUCUAGAAUAGACCACAUAUUAGGUCAUAAAGCAAGCCUUAGCAGAAACCAAAACAUUGAAAUAUUACAAAGCAUCUUCUCUGACCGCAAGGCCAUAAAAGUGGAAAUCAAUAACAGGAAAAGCAGGGAAAAGAAAUCAAACACUUGGAAACUGAACAAUACCCUGUGCUCAAAAAAGAUUGGAUUACAUCCAUAAAUGCAUACAUCCAAUAAGAAGAAAGGGCCAAAAUCAAAGAAGUGUCCCUACAACUUGAACAAAUAGAAAGAGAGCAACAAAAGAAACCCACAGGCACCAGAAGAAAACAAAUAAUAAAAAUUAGAGCUGAACUCAAUGAAAUAGAAAACAGAAAAACAAUUGAAAGAAUCAACAAGACCAAAAGCUGGCUCUUUGAAAAAAUCAACAACAUUGAUAAACCACUGGCCAAACUGACAAAAGAAAAACAGGAGAGGAAGCAAAUAGCCCGAAUAAGAAAUUAGAUGGACGGUAUUACAACAGACCCAACUGAAAUUAACAGAAUCAUAUCAGAUUACUAUGAAAAAUUGUACUCAAACAAAUUUGAAAACCUAGAAGAAAUGGAUGAAUUCCUAGAAACACACUACCUACCUAAACUAACACAAACAGAGGCAGAACAACUAAAUAGACCCACAACAAAAGAAGAGAUUGAAAAGGUAGUUAAAAAACUCCCAACAAAAAAAGAGCCCUGGUUCAUGCGGCUUCACUGCAGAGUUCUACCAAACUUUCAGAGAAGGGUUAACAUCACUACUACUAAAAGUAUUUCAGAGCAUAGAAAAGGACAGAAUACUGCCAAACUCAUUCUAUGAAGCCACCAUAUCCCUGAUACCAAAACCAGGUAAAGACACCACAAAUAAAGAAAAUUAUAGACCCCUCAUGAACGUAGAUGCAAAAAUCCUCAACAAAAUUCUAGCCAAUAGAAUUCAACAACGUAUCAAAAAAAUAAUUCGCCAUGACCAAGUGGGAUUCAAACCAGGUAUGCAGGGAUGGUUCAACAUUAGAAAAACAAUUAAUGUAAUCCACCACAUAAAUAAAACAAAAGAUAAGAAUCACGUGAUCUUACCGAUUGAUGCAGAAAAGGCAUUUGACAAAGUUCAACACGUGUUCAUGAUAUAAACUCUCAGCAAAAUAGGAAUAGAAGGAAAAUUCCUCAACAUAAUAAAGGGCAUUUAUGUAAAGCCAACAGCCAACAUCAUCCUAAAUGGAGAGAACCUGAAAGCAUUCCCACUGAGAUCGGGAACCAGUCAAGUAUGCCCUUUAUCACCACUCUUAUUCAACAUUCUGCUGGAGGUCCUAGCCAGAGCAAUUAGGCUAGAUAAAGAAAUAAAAGGGCAUCCAGAUUGGCAAAGAAGAAGUAAAAGUAUCUCUAUUUGCAGAUGACAUGAUCUUUUACACAGAAAACCCUAAGGAAUCCUCCAGAAAAAUACUGAAACUAAUAGAAGAGUUUAGCAGAGUAUCGGGAUACAAGAUAAACAUACACAAAUCAGUUGGAUUCCUCUACACCAACAAAAAGAACAUCGAAGAGGAAAUUUCCAAAUGAAUGCCAUUUACAGUAGCCCCCAAGAAGAUAAAAUACUUAGGAAUAAAUCUUAGCAGAAAUGUAAAAGACUUAUACAAAGAAAACUGCAAUACACUUCUGCAAGAAAGCAAAAGAGACCUACAUAAGUGGAAAAACAUUCCUUGCUCAUGGAUGGGAAGACUUAACAUUAUAAAAAUGUCUCUUCUACCAAAAGCGAUCUAUACAUUUAAUGCAAUUCCGAUCCAAGUCCCAAGGACAUUCUUUAAUGAGAUGGAGAAAUAAAUGACCAACUUCAUAUGGAAGGGAAAGAGGCCCCGGAUAAGUAAAGUAUUAGUGAAAAAGGAGAGCAAAGUGGAAGGCCUUACUUUACCCGAUUUUAGAACGUAUUAUACUGCCACAGUAGUCAAAACAGCCUGAUACUGGUACAACAACAGUUACAUAGACCAAUGGAACAGAAUUGAGAAUCCAGACAUAAAUCCAUCCACAUAUGAGCAUUUGAUAUUUGACAAAGGCCCCAAAACAGUUAAAUGGGGAAAAGACAGUCUUUUUAAUAAAUGGUGCUGGCAUAACUGGAAAUCCAUCUGCAAAAAAUGAAACAAUACCCAUACCUUACUCCAUGCACAAAAACGAGCUCAUAAUGGAUCAAAGAGCUAAAUAUAAAAUCUAAAACGAUAAAGAUCAUGGAAGAAAAAAUAGAGACAAUGUUAGGAGCCCUAACACACGGCAUAAACAGUAUACAAAACAUUACUAACGAUGCAGAAGACAAACCAGAUAACUGGGAGCUCCUAAAAAUCAAACACCUAUGCUCAUCCAAAGACUUCACCAAAAGAGUCACAAGUUUACGUACAGACUGGGAAAAAGUUUUUAGCUAUGACAUUUCCAAUCAGAACCUGAUCUCUAAAAUCUACAUGAUACUGCAAAAACUCAACUGCAAAAAGACAAAUAACCGAAUUAAAAAAUGGGCAAGAGGUAUGAACAGACACUUCACUAAAGAAGACAUUCAGGUAGCUAAGGAAUACAUGAGGAAAUAUUCACGAUCAUUAGCCAUUAGAGAAAUGCAAAUCAGAACUACAAUAAGAUUUCAUCUCACUCCAACAAGGCUGGCAUUAAUCCAAAAAAACAUAAAACAAUAAAUGUUGCAGUGGCUGUGGAGAGAUUGGAACACUUAUACACUGCUGGUGGGAAUGUAAAAUGUACAAGCACUUUGGAAAUCGAUUUGGCACUUCCUUAAAAAGCUAGAAACAGAACUACCACAUGAUCCAGCAAUCCCAUUCCUUGGAAUAUAUCCUAGAGAAAUAAGAGCCUUUACAUGAACAGAUAUAUGCACACCCAUGUUCAUUGUAGCACUGUUUACAAUAGCAAAAAGAUGGAAGCAACCAAGGUGCCCAUCACUGGAUGAAUGGAUAAAUAAUGGUAUAUUCACACAAUGGAAUACUACACAUUGGUGAAGAACUCUGAUGAAUCUGGGAAUUAUUUCAUAACAUGGAGGAAUCUGGAAGGCAUUAUGCUGAGUGAAAUUAGUUGCAAAAGGACAAAUAUUGUAUAAGACCACAAUUAUAAGAACUCAAGAAAUAGUUUAAACAGAGAAGAAAAUAUUCUUUGAUGGUUAUGGGGGGGGAGGGAGGUUGGGAGAGGAGUAUUCACUAAUUAGAUAGUAGAUAAGAACUACUUCAGGUGAAGGGAAAGACAACACACAAUACAGGGGAGGUUAGCUCAACUGGACUAAACUAAAAGCAGACGUUUCUGGAAUAAACUGAAUGCUUUGAAGGCCAGUGUAGCAGGGACAGGGGUCUGGGGACCGUGGUUUCAGGGGACAUCUAAGUCAAUUGGCGUAAUAAAAUCUAUUAAGAAAACAUCCUGCAUCCCACCUUGGAGUGAAGCAUCCGGGGUCUUAAACGCUAGCAAGCAGCCAUCUAAGAUUCAUAAUUGGUCUCAACCCACCUGGAGCAAAGGAGAAUGAAGAACACCAAGGACACAAGGCGAUUAUGAGCCCAAGAGACAGAAAGGGCCAAGUGAACCAGAGAUUACAUCAUCCUGAGACCAGAAGAGCUAGAUGGUGCCCGGCUACAACCAAUGACUGCCCUGACAGGGAACACAACAGAGAACCCCUGAGGGAGCAGGAGAGCAGUGGGAUGCAGAUCCCAAAUUCUCGUAAAAAGACCAGACUUAAUGGCCUAAGACUAGAAGGACCCGAGUGGUCAUAGCUCCUAGACCUUCUGUUGGCCCAGGACAGGAAACAUUCCCAAGGCCAACUCUUCAGACAGGGAUUGGACUGGACAGUGGGUUGGAGAGGGAUGCUGGUGAGGAGUGAGCUUCUUGGAUCAGGUGGACAUUUGAGACUAUGUUGGCAUCUCCUCCCUGGAGGGCAUAUGAGAGGGUAGAGGGGGUUAGAAGCUGGCAAAAUGGACAUGAAAAGAGAGAGUGGAGGGAGGGAGUGGGCUGUCUCAUUAGGGGGAGAGCAUUUGGGGGUAUGUGGCAAGGUGUAUACAAGUUUUUGUGUGAGACACUGACCUGAUUUGUAAACUUUCACUUAAAGCACAAUAAAAAAAAAAAAAAAAGAAUAGAUUUGA